UGCAAGUCGAGUGCGCGUGCCGUAGCAAUACGGUAUGGCGCACGGCGCACGGGUGCGUAACACGUGGGUAACCUGCCCUUUGGUGGGGAAUAACUCCUGGAAACCGAAGCUAAUUCCGCAUAAGAUCCGCAAGGAUGAAAGCCGAAAGGCGCCGAUGGAGGGGCCCGCGCCCGAUUAGCUAGUUGGCAGGGUAAUGGCCUACCAAGGCUUUGAUCGGUAGCUGGUCUGAGAGGAUGGCCAGCCACACUGGAACUGAGACACGGUCCAGACUCCUACGGGAGGCAGCAGUGGGGAAUCUUGCGCAAUGGGCGAAAGCCUGACGCAGCGACGCCGCGUGGGGGAUGAAGCUUCUCGGAGUGUAAACCCCUUUCGACUGGGACGAAUACCUCGCAAGAGGGGUGACGGUACCAGUAGAAGAAGCCCCGGCUAACUACGUGCCAGCAGCCGCGGUAAGACGUAGGGGGCCAGCGUUGUUCGGAAUUACUGGGUGUAAAGGGUUCGUAGGCGGUGUGGCAAGUCGGGAGUGAAAUCUCUGGGCUUAACUCAGAGGCUGCUUCCGAAACUGCUGUGCUUGAGUGUGGGAGAGGCGCGUGGAAUUGCAGGUGUAGCGGUGAAAUGCGUAGAUAUCUGCAGGAACACCCGUGGCGAAAGCGGCGCGCUGGACCACUACUGACGCUGAGGAACGAAAGCUAGGGGAGCAAACAGGAUUAGAUACCCUGGUAGUCCUAGCCCUAAACGAUCAGGACUUGGGGUGCCGCACGUUCGUGCGUCGUCCCGGAGCUAACGCGUUAAGUCCUGCACCUGGGGAGUACGGUCGCAAGACUGAAACUCAAAGGAAUUGACGGGGGCCCGCACAAGCGGUGGAACAUGUGGUUCAAUUCGACGCUACGCGAGGAA
rnacentral:rRNA from 1 species